CCCGCCGGCGACCGGCGCACGGGUGAGUAACACGUAUGCAACCUGGCCGCCACAGGGGGAUAACCCGCGGAAACGCGGCCUAAUACCCCGUGACGCCACCGGAGGGCAUCCUCCGGUGGCCAAAGGAGCGAUCCGGUGGCGGAUGGGCAUGCGGCGCAUUAGCUAGACGGCGGGGUGACGGCCCACCGUGGCGACGAUGCGUAGGGGUUCUGAGAGGAAGGCCCCCCACACUGGUACUGAGACACGGACCAGACUCCUACGGGAGGCAGCAG
rnacentral:rRNA from 1 species